AACAGGACGCCCAAAAAGGAAACAUCCAGCAAGGAGUUGGAAAAAACAGUUAUAAGAUGCUUGCUGAUCUGAGAUAUUUUUUCACGAACAUAAUGAAUAAUACCAACAUACCAAACUUUUUGGACUUUUCUUCUGUUGGAAAGAAUAAUUGUAAAGAACCACCUGGGGAGCUUUAUCUGAAACUGCAACAAUAUCUGAUAAUUUCCCAGAGUGUAACUUAUAAUGUACAUCAUCACACAGCAUCAAAAAAGAAAAUAAAAUUGUCUCAUAACA